rnacentral:sRNA from 1 species
AACAAUUUCCAGCACUGCCUGAAGUCUGGUCCCGGAAGUUGUCAAAAAACGACUCAGACUAACUAGAUUUAUGCAGAAGGC